AACGAACGCUGGCGGCGUGCCUAACACAUGCAAGUCGAACGAGACCUUCGGGUCUAGUGGCGCACGGGUGCGUAACGCGUGGGAACCUGCCCUUAGGUUCGGAAUAACUCCCCGAAAGGGGUGCUAAUACCGGAUAAUGUCUUCGGACCAAAGAUUUAUCGCCUUUGGAUGGGCCCGCGUUGGAUUAGCUAGUUGGUAGGGUAAAAGCCUACCAAGGCGACGAUCCAUAGCUGGUCUGAGAGGAUGAUCAGCCACACUGAGACUGAGACACGGCCCAGACUCCUACGGGAGGCAGCAGUGGGGAAUAUUGGACAAUGGGCGAAAGCCUGAUCCAGCAAUGCCGCGUGAGUGAUGAAGGCCUUAGGGUUGUAAAGCUCUUUUACCCGGGAUGAUAAUGACAGUACCGGGAGAAUAAGCUCCGGCUAACUCCGUG
rnacentral:rRNA from 1 species